UUCCCUUUGUAAUUAAACCUUUGUUUGGGGUUUCAGUGCAUUCCUUGCUGCACCAAAGUCACUACUUUUCCAUGACAUCUUCUCCUUUCUGUGUUGUUCAGGUAGUUAUGCUGCCCUGAUCACAGCAACACUGGAGUUCUUCAAGGAGUGCAUCAUCACAGGACUUAGAUUUAUCUUCUGUGGCUCUCACUUCUUCCAUGUCUCUGAAAUAUUAACAGAGGAGGAGGAUGUGAUUAGUGUUUUCUGCCAUGGGAUGUCAGCUGAGGGAUGAGAACCGUGUGCCAAGAGGAGGAAAGAGCUGUCACAGAUGGAUGAAGGCCAUCCCUUUCAGAUGUGAAGCACAGCAAGCCAAGCUGGAUCCCCAUUCUCUUUGGGGAUCGGUCUGCAGGGAUGACGAGAGAAGCGAAGCAAGUCCCCAGCCCUCUCUGGAGCUAAACUGCAAAACCACAGGCUUUACCAAAGCCCUUCUCCCAG
rnacentral:lncRNA from 1 species